CAAGUCGAACGCCCCGCAAGGGGAGUGGCGGACGGAUGAGUAACGCGUGGGAAUUUUCCUCAAGGUACGGAACAACUCAGGGAAACUUGGGCUAAUACUGUAUGAUGCAGCGAUGCCAAAGAUUUAUCGCCUUGGGAUAAGCCCGCGUCAGAUUAGGUAGUUGGUGGGGUAACGGCCUACCAAGCCUGCGAUCUGUAGCUGGUCUGAGAGGACGAUCAGCCACAUUGGGACUGAGACACGGCCCAAACUCCUACGGGAGGCAGCAGUGGGGAAUCUUGCGCAAUGGGCGAAAGCCUGACGCAGCCAUGCCGCGUGAAUGAUGAAGGUCUUAGGAUUGUAAAGUUCUUUAGCCUGUGACGAUGAUGACGGUAACAGGAGAAUAAGCCCCGGCUAACUUCGUGCCAGCAGCCGCGGUAAUACGAAGGGGGCUAGCGUUGUUCGGAAUUACUGGGCGUAAAGCGCGCGUAGGCGGUUUUACAAGCCAGAGGUGAAAUGCCUGAGCUUAACUUGGGAAUUGCCUUUGGAACUGUAUGACUUCGAGGACGAGAGAGGUGAGUGGAAUUCCCAGUGUAGAGGUGAAAUUCGUAGAUAUUGGGAAGAACACCGGUGGCGAAGGCGGCUCACUGGCUCGUUUCUGACGCUGCAGCGCGAAAGCGUGGGGAUCAAACAGGAUUAGAUACCCUGGUAGUCCACGCUGUAAACGAUGAGUGCUAGGCGUCGGCACGCUUGCGUGUCGGUGCCGCAGCUAACGCGUGAAGCACUCCGCCUGGGGAGUACGGUCGCAAGAUUAAAACUCAAAGGAAUUGACGG
rnacentral:rRNA from 1 species